rnacentral:rRNA from 1 species
CCUACGGGGGGCAGCAGUGGGGAAUAUUGGACAAUGGGGGGAACCCUGAUCCAGCCAUGCCGCGUGUGUGAAGAAGGCCCUCGGGUUGUAAAGCACUUUCAGUGAGGAAGAACGCCUGGUGGUUAAUACCCAUCAGGAAAGACAACACUCACAGAAGAAGCACCGGCUAACUCCGUGCCAGCAGCCGCGGUAAUACGGAGGGUGCGAGCGUUAAUCGGAAUUACUGGGCGUAAAGCGCGCGUAGGUGGCUUGAUAAGCCGGUUGUGAAAGCCCCGGGCUCAACCUGGGAACGGCAUCCGGAACUGUCAAGCUAGAGUGCAGGAGAGGAAAGUAGAAUUCCCGGUGUAGCGGUGAAAUGCGUAGAGAUCGGGAGGAAUACCAGUGGCGAAGGCGGCCUUCUGGACUGACACUGACACUGAGGUGCGAAAGCGUGGGUAGCAAACAGGAUUAGAUACCCUGGUAGUC